UUUCUGGUUUGAACUCAGAUCAUGUGCGGGGUAGAGGUCGAACAGACCUUGUGAAAAUAGCUUCUGCACUAUUUGUAGCCGCAAUUCAACAUCGAGGUCGCAAACAAUUAUUUUAAUAAGGGCUUAAAUAAUUAUAACGCUGUUAUCCCUAGAGUACCUUAUUCGUCUAAUUUAAUAAAGAUCAUUGUUAAUAUAAAUAGUCCUAUUUAAAUUUACC
rnacentral:rRNA from 1 species